rfam:Camelus ferus unplaced genomic scaffold scaffold200, whole genome shotgun sequence.
GGCAGUAUAGCUCAGUGGUAGAGUGCAUGCUCAGCAGGCACGAGGUUCUGGGUUCAAUCCCCAGUACCUCCA